CUUUGUUUUCUACUUGUUUGUUUAAAUCUCGAAAGCCUAACUAAUGUUCUUACAUGGCCAGAACGAUAAGUAUAUAGUGAAAUAGAAUCUCAUAAACAUUAAGUCCGUCUACAACAUUUCCCAACUGUGAUAACAUCUUUAUACAAUCUAUUUUAUAUAUGUAUUCUUUUAAUUUAUAUACACUGUGAUACAUUUUUUGUUGUAUAGUUCUACAACAGAGCACUGCUAUUGCUAUGAAAUCUAUAUUAUAGUUAUAAGGGCCCUUAUUGAAUGAUUGACGGACCUAUCAUUACUGCUCUACAGCGUAUCAAUCUACAUGAAGCUUAAUAUGCCUGGUCCAAUCUACCUUGUGUACCCGUGAGGGAGGCAGUGGCGUAGCUAUAAAUUUGCCAUCAUCUGAGGGUCCGGGGAGUUUGACCUUUUGUGAUAAAACGCAUUUAUUUGCUCGAAAUGGGUUUUGAGCUUGGGCCCCUACGCCAUGUAGCGAAGCGGUAUUCGCCACUCAGUCGCACAUCUUAAUUCAUAAAAGUGCCCUCUACUUUGUAAAUAAUAUAUUGUUCUACAGUUAAUAUAACAUGAAAGUCGCUAUAGUUUAUAUAUUAAUAUCUAGUUUUUUCUGUACACUAUUUAUUAAUACUGCUGUUUAUUUCAUCCAUUAAUAUGAAAAAUAAAACUCGAAUUACGUACCAAUUAC